AUUGAACGCUGGCGGCAUGCCUUACACAUGCAAGUCGAACGGUAACGGGCCUUCGGGUGCCGACGAGUGGCGAACGGGUGAGUAAUACAUCGGAACGUGCCCGAUCGUGGGGGAUAACGAGGCGAAAGCUUUGCUAAUACCGCAUACGAUCUACGGAUGAAAGCAGGGGACCGCAAGGCCUUGCGCGGACGGAGCGGCCGAUGGCAGAUUGGGUAGUUGGUGGGAUAAAAGCUUACCAAGCCGACGAUCUGUAGCUGGUCUGAGAGGAUGAUCAGCCACACUGGGACUGAGACACGGCCCAGACUCCUACGGGAGGCAGCAGUGGGGAAUUUUGGACAAUGGGCGCAAGCCUGAUCCAGCCAUGCCGCGUGCAGGAUGAAGGCCUUCGGGUUGUAAACUGCUUUUGUACGGAACGAAAAGCCUUCUUUUAAUACAGGAGGGUCAUGACGGUACCGGAAGAAUAAGCACCGGCUAACUACGUG
rnacentral:rRNA from 1 species